rnacentral:rRNA from 1 species
GAUGAACGCUGGCGGCGUGCCUAAUACAUGCAAGUCGAACGCAUUGAGAGAAGUGCUUGCCCUUUUCAAUUUGAGUGGCGAACGGGUGAGUAACACGUGGGCAACCUACCUGAUAGCGGGGGAUAACGAGUGGAAACAUUCGCUAAUACCGCAUAACAAUAGAGAAGGCAUCUUCUUUAUUUAAAAGGCGCUUUCAAGCGUCACUAUCAGAUGGGCCCGCGGUGCAUUAGGUAGUUGGUGGGGUGAAGGCAUACCAAGACGAUGAUGCAUAGGCGAGUUGAGAGACUGAUCGGCCUCAUUGGGACUAAGACACCGCCCAAACUCCUACGAGAGGCUGCAGUAGGGAAUCUUCCACAAUGGACGAAAGUCUGAUGGAGCAACGCCGCGUGUGUGAUGAAGGCUUUCGGGUCGUAAAGCACUGUUGUAUGGGAAGAAAUGCUAGGCUAGGAAAUGAGCUUAGUUUGACGGUACCAUACCAGAAAGGGACGGCUAAAUACGUGCCAGCCGCCGCGGUAA